CUUUAAAAUACAGUCAUGCCUUGGUAAUAUGUUGCCACAGUAUUAUUUGCUUGUCAAACAAUUGAUUUCAGACUGGGCCAAUUUGGAUAGCUCAGAUUUUCUUACCAAGGUUAUAGAAAAGGAAAAUGCAGGUUGUUUUGAAUUAAGAAAAGAUUUAGGAAAGUAAGGUUGCUUAUUAUGCUCAGGGAUUGCAACAUAUUAUGUCCAGCUACACAGGCUGAGAGCGAGGAUGGGAUGGAGCACAUAAAGCCCGCGGAAGGGGUGGUCAAAGAGGGGCAAGGGGAUGGAGACAGGGAAAUCAGGGUUAUAGGGGCAGGGGUAACCAAGGAGGAAUAGACAGGAACACUUGUUUCAACUGUGGCCACUGGAGGAAUGAGUGUCCACACCCCAGGAAACCCCACACACCCCAACAACCCCACAAUUCUCAAAAUAUGCCCUGUAGGCAAGAACAACACCAGACCCACUCCCAACACCACUGGCCAGCAUAUCGCUUAGUUCAGGACUUUAGAGCCCUGAAUAGUUUAAUUGUGCCCAUUUCACCCAUUGUCCCUGAUGUGACAUCCCUCAUUACAGCCAUUCCACAUGAUGCCACUUGCUUCACU